CCUACGGGAGGCAGCAGUGAGGAAUAUUGGUCAAUGGGCGCUAGCCUGAACCAGCCAAGUCGCGUGUAGGAUGACUGCCCUAUGGGUUGUAAACUUCUUUUAUAUGGGAGUAAAGUGCAGUAUGUAUACUGCUUUUCAUGUACCUUAUGAAUACGGAUCGGCUAACUCCGUGCCAGCCGCCGCGGUAAUACGGAGGAUCCGAGCGUUAUCCGGAUUUAUUGGGUUUAAAGUGAGCGUAGGCGGGUUGUUAAGUCAGAUGUGAAAGUUUGCGGCUCAACCGUGAAAUUGCAGUUGAUACUGGCAUCCUUGAGUACAGUAGAGGUAGGUGGAAUUCGUGGUGUAGCGGGGAAAUGCGUAGAUAUCACGAAGAACACCGAUUGCGAAGGCAGCCUGCUGGACUGUAACUGACGCUGAUGCGCGAAAGUGUGGGGAUCAAACAGGAUUAGAUACCCCUGUAGUC
rnacentral:rRNA from 1 species